CAGCCGCCGCGGGAAUACGAAGGGGGCUAGCGUUGUUCGGAUUUACUGGGCGUAAGGGGCGCGUAGGCGGACUGAUAAGUCAGGGGUGAAAUCCCAAGGCUCAACCUUGGAACUGCCUUUGAUACUGUUUGUCAUGAGUUCGAGAGAGGUAAGUGGAACUGCGAGUGUAGAGGUGAAAUUCGUAGAUAUUCGCAAGAACACCAGUGGCGAAGGCGGCUUACCGGCUCGAAACUGACGCUGAGGCGCGAAAGCGUGGGGAGCAAACAGGAUUAGAUACCCGAGUAGUCCCUGUCUCUUAUAC
rnacentral:rRNA from 1 species